GCUUUCAUAGUCAAUGGUUAGAGCACCUGUUUAGUAAGUGGGAGGUCUUGAGUUCAACUCUCAAUGAAAGCA
rnacentral:tRNA from 1 species